GCCCUGGUGGCUCCGUGGUAGGAUUCUUGCCUUUCAUGCUGGAGACCCGGGGUUCAAUUCCCAGCCAGUGCA
rnacentral:tRNA from 1 species